UGCUAUAGAAGCUCUUUGAAACCAAACACAGCAGAAGCUAUCAUUUGCCUCAAAGAUUGGACUUUUGGUGAAGCUAAUAUGGAUCCGCAAUUGCAAGAUUUAUGUGGAAAAAUCAUGGCCAUGAAAGUCAACGAUGAUGUGGGGGAUACUCCCAGCCCCAGCCCUCCACAAAGUGCACCAGAAAGUCCUGCUGUCAUGGAGAGUCAAACCUGAUUAUGUUGUUAAUUUCUUCUAAAAUUAGUUGAUGAAACUGUUACUGUUAUUUUGGACAUGUAUUUGGUUUUCUAGUUGAACUUUUAUUUGCCUACUUGGAAGUAUUUUGUACAUGUAACUCUUGGAAAUAUUUUGGACUUGUUGGCUAGCUACUUUUCAAGUUUUAGUUGUUGUUGUGAGUGUAUGAAACUAUGAAGUAUGGACAAUGCACUAAUGCAGCAGGAUUUUCUUGAAUUAUGUUGUUAAGUUAUGUUUGCUUGAA